rnacentral:lncRNA from 1 species
CAAGCAGCAAUCCUCUCCCCAUCCAGCCACUCACCUUCAAACCAACUCUUAACUUCCAUUAACUGAGUCCUACCUCAGUCAGGAAAUCAAAGCAAGGCUUCUUUUUAAGGUGAGCUAAGUCUGGACUCUUUCAGUCAAACAGCAAUAACCAAGAAGUCUGCUACAGUUCUACUGACCCAUUUCUAGCCAGCAGCUUCAAUAACCAACAUAAAACCUGUCAAGAUGCAGCUGGAAAAAUUUUCACUUAACAUGCUAUUCUUUUUUCACAUUUGUGAAUGCCUUGUAAAAAGUCUUCAGUUAAAAACCAGUUGUGGAUGAAAUGGCUCAGUAGCCUGGAAGGAACAAGGCUACUUGUUAAGGGAGCAAUGGAAGUUGUCUGGGUCUUCUCUGUAAUUGCACUACUGACUUGGAGAAACAGACUGGGAUCAAUUGAAGAGCAAACAACUCACCUUCCUAAGCCUGAGCUCAGUGAUUCUUACAGUGAAUAGCAUCAGUGAAUUGCAGGGAACCAGUGCUUUGCCCUAUAAAUACUUUAACAGAGAAUUGCACCCUUCUAACACCUCACAAAGGAAACUGUUAACUGAAUCCCUUCCUACACGUCUGUGUUCUGUAGCCACGUCCCUGUGUGAGAAUACUGAAGGCUGAGAAAGAGCAAAACUGCUGAACUGAGCUCAUGCUCAAACACUUUGUGUCACUCUGAUAAACACUCCUGUCCUCUCAGCAGCUACUCUGCUCCCCUCUCCAGUGUGCUGGGAGACAGCAGCCUGGCAGCAAUGGCCCUACCCUUCUGUGCAGGGCACAAUCACAUCUGAAGAGAUUCCCCAGCACUGGUGAGGCAGCAGAGCCUGGGAUCCUGUUACUCUCACUCCCCUCUUCUGCUGCCAAUUCCUGUGGAGUGGGGGCACCCCAAUUCCUGCAGGGCAGCCACAGCACCCAGCAGGAGUGGGAUCCCCUGCAGGUACCCUUAAUGCACCAGGACACGCCUGCCCUGGUGUGUGAGUACCUGUGGGGAGCAGAAAGCCACAGAACAAACUGGGAUCCUCUCAGGCCUGCUCUGACUUUCAUCUGUGCAGGCUUUGUCCUGUGGGCCCAGGGACAGCAAAGGACAAACGCAGCAAGUGAUAUGGAACUUGUUCAGUGUAAUAAAAGAGUCAUGGGAAAAGCAGAGGCAGAGGAAACAAAGCAAAGAAGUUAUAAUUCAGCAUGCUGCUCAAGUUGUUGGGAGAAAAUUUGCGGAGACAAAAGGCAACACUGA